UGGGGAAGUUUGCACAAUGGGGGAAACCCUGAUGCAGCGACGCCGCGUGAUUUAGAAGGCCUUCGGGUUGUAAAAAUCUUUUUUACGGGAUGAAAAUGACAGUACCGUAAGAAUAAGGUCCGGCUAAAUACGUGCCAGCAGCCGCGGUAAUACGUAUGGACCGAGCGUUGUCCGGAAUCAUUGGGCGUAAAGGGUACGUAGGCGGCCUAGUAAGUUAGAAGUGAAAUAAUAUAGCUCAACUAUAUAAAGCUUUUAAAACUGCUAGGCUUGAGAGAUGGAAGGGAAAGUGGAAUUCCUAGUGUAGCGGUGAAAUGCGCAGAUAUUAGGAAGAAUACCGGUGGCGAAGGCGACUUUCUGGUCAUCAUCUGACGCUGCGGUACGAAAGCGUGGGUAGCAAACAGG
rnacentral:rRNA from 1 species